rnacentral:rRNA from 1 species
CCCCCCAUCAAGAGAGCGGUUUCCCCGCCCGCCGCUCUUUUUUAUAUAAAUCCGAUAAAGGGUGGCAGUUAUAAGCUAUCAUCAGAAACUUGUUUUAUAAUUGUAAACUCUCACUAAAUUUGACUUAUAUUAAAAGUCUAUAUACCGCCGUUUCUGAAGUAAUAAUAACGAAAUAUCCAAACAAACAACCAUUAACAAAAUCAGGUCAAGGUAUAGCCAAUAUAAAAGUAAAAAUUGAGUUACAUAUAAUAAAAAAUUAGUCGAAAAUUGUGUCAAAACACAAAUGAAAACAGAAUCUAAAAACCAAUUAAA